UAGGGCGAAAGCCUGAUCCAGCAACGCCGCGUGAGGGAUGACGGCCUUCGGGUUGUAAACCUCUUCAGUAUCGACGAAGCGCCCUGUCGGGUGGUGACGGUAGAUACAGAAGAAGGACCGGCCAACUACGUGCCAGCAGCCGCGGUAAUACGUAGGGUCCGAGCGUUGUCCGGAAUUAUUGGGCGUAAAGGGCUCGUAGGCGGUUUGUCGCGUCGGGAGUGAAAUCUUACAGCUUAACUGUGAACUUGCUUCCGAUACGGGCAGACUUGAGGCAUUCAGGGGAGAACGGAAUUCCUGGUGUAGCGGUGAAAUGCGCAGAUAUCAGGAGGAACACCGGUGGCGAAGGCGGUUCUCUGGGAAUGUACUGACGCUGAGGAGCGAAAGUGUGGGGAGCGAACAGGAUUAGAUACCCUGGUAGUCCACACCGUAAACGUUGGGCGCUAGGUGUGGGGCCUAUUCCAUGGGUUCCGUGCCGCAGCUAACGCAUUAAGCGCCCCGCCUGGGGAGUACGGCCGCAAGGCUA
rnacentral:rRNA from 1 species